rnacentral:rRNA from 1 species
UGGGGGAUAUUGCACAAUGGGCGAAAGCCUGAUGCAGCGACGCCGCGUGGGGGAUGAAGGCUUUCGGGUUGUAAACCUCUUUCGCUAUCGAACAAGGCCCGCUUAGGGUGGGUUGAGGGUAGGUGGAGAAGAAGCGCCGGCUAACUACGUGCCAGCAGCCGCGGUAAUACGUAGGGCGCGAGCGUUGUCCGGAAUUAUUGGGCGUAAAGGGCUUGUAGGCGGCUUGUUGCGCCUGCUGUGAAAACGCGGGGCUUAACUUCGCGCGUGCAGUGGGUACGGGCAGGCUUGAGUGUGGUAGGGGUGACUGGAAUUCCAGGUGUAGCGGUGGAAUGCGCAGAUAUCUGGAGGAACACCGAUGCGAAGGCAGGUCACUGGGCCAUUACUGACGCUGAGGAGCGAAAGCAUGGGUAGCGAACAGG